ACACUCCUGCGGGAGGCAGCAGUGGGGAAUAUUGCACAAUGGGCGCAAGCCUGAUGCAGCCAUGCCGCGUGUAUGAAGAAGGCCUUCGGGUUGUAAAGUACUUUCAGCGGGGAGGAAGGCGAUAAGGUUAAUAACCUUGUCGAUUGACGUUACCCGCAGAAGAAGCACCGGCUAACUCCGUGCCAGCAGCCGCGGUAAUACGGAGGGUGCAAGCGUUAAUCGGAAUUACUGGGCGUAAAGCGCACGCAGGCGGUCUGUCAAGUCGGAUGUGAAAUCCCCGGGCUCAACCUGGGAACUGCAUUCGAAACUGGCAGGCUAGAGUCUUGUAGAGGGGGGUAGAAUUCCAGGUGUAGCGGUGAAAUGCGUAGAGAUCUGGAGGAAUACCGGUGGCGAAGGCGGCCCCCUGGACAAAGACUGACGCUCAGGUGCGAAAGCGUGGGGAGCAAACAGGAUUAGAUACCCGUGUAGUCCC
rnacentral:rRNA from 1 species